UACAGAGGAGCCAAGCGUUGCUCGGAAUCACUGGGCGUAAAGGGUGCGUAGGCGGGUCUUUAAGUCAGGGGUGAAAUCCUGGAGCUCAACUCCAGAACUGCCUUUGAUACUGAAGAUCUUGAGUUCGGGAGAGGUGAGUGGAACUGCGAGUGUAGAGGUGAAAUUCGUAGAUAUUCGCAAGAACACCAGUGGCGAAGGCGGCUCACUGGCCCGAUACUGACGCUGAGGCACGAAAGCGUGGGGAGCAAACAGGG
rnacentral:rRNA from 1 species